ACUCCUACGGGAGGCAGCAGUGGGGAAUUUUGAACAAUGGGCGCAAGCCUGAUCCAGCAAUGCCGCAUGAGUGAAGAAGGCCUUCGGGUUGUAAAGCUCUUUUGUCAGGGAAGAAACGGUGAGGGCUAAUAUCCCUUGCUAAUGACGGUACCUGAAGAAUAAGCACCGGCUAACUACGUGCCAGCAGCCGCGGUAAUACGUAGGGUGCAAGCGUUAAUCGGAAUUACUGGGCGUAAAGCGUGCGCAGGCGGUUUUGUAAGUUUGUCGUGAAAGCCCCGGGCUCAACCUGGGAAUUGCGAUGAAGACUGCAAGGCUUGAAUCUGGCAGAGGGGGGUAGAAUUCCACGUGUAGCAGUGAAAUGCGUAGAGAUGUGGAGGAACACCGAUGGCGAAGGCAGCCCCCUGGGUCAAGAUUGACGCUCAUGCACGAAAGCGUGGGGAGCAAACAGGAUUAGAUACCCUGGUAGUCCACGCCCUAAACGAUGUCUACUAGUUGUCGGGUUUUAAUUAACUUGGUAACGCAGCUAACGCGUGAAGUAGACCGCCUGGGGAGUACGGUCGCAAGAUUAAAACUCAAAGGAAUUGACGGGGACCCGCACAAGCGGUGGAUGAUGUGGAUUAAUUCGAUGCAACGCGAAAAACCUUACCUACCCUUGACAUGUCAGGAAGUCUUGAGAGAUCAGGAUGUGCCCGAAAGGGAACCUGAACACAGGUGCUGCAUGGCUGUCGUCAGCUCGUGUCGUGAGAUGUUGGGUUAAGUCCCGCAACGGGCGCAACCCUUGUCAUUAGUUGUUACGAAAGAGCACUCUAAUGAGACUGCCGGUGACAAACCGGAGGAAGGUGGGGAUGACGUCAAGCCCUCAUGGCCCUUAUGGGUAGGGCUUCACACGUCAUACAAUGGUACAUACAGAGGGCCGCCAACCCGCGAGGGGGAGCUAAUCCCAGAAAGUGUAUCGUAGUCCGGAUUGUAGUCUGCAACUCGACUACAUGAAGUUGGAAUCGCUAGUAA
rnacentral:rRNA from 1 species